UACGUAGGGUGCAAGCGUUGUCCGGAAUUAUUGGGCGUAAAGAGCUUGUAGGCGGUUUGUCGCGUCUGCUGUGAAAUUUCGGGGCUCAACCCCGAACUUGCAGUGGGUACGGGCAGACUAGAGUGUGGUAGGGGAGACUGGAAUUCCUGGUGUAGCGGUGAAAUGCGCAGAUAUCAGGAGGAACACCGAUGGCGAAGGCAGGUCUCUGGGCCAUAACUGACGUGAGAAGCGAAAGCAUGGGGAGCGAACAGG
rnacentral:rRNA from 1 species